rnacentral:sRNA from 1 species
UGUUAAAUGGUUUAGGUGGCGUGAAGA